rnacentral:rRNA from 1 species
CCUACGGGAGGCAGCAGUGGGGAAUUGUUCGCAAUGGGCGCAAGCCUGACGACGCAACGCCGCGUGGAGGAUGAAGGUCUUCGGAUUGUAAACUCCUGUUGAUCGGGAAGAAUGGACUCCGGGUGAAUACUCUGGGGUAGUGACGGUACCGAUUGAGGAAGCCACGGCUAACUCUGUGCCAGCAGCCGCGGUAAU